rnacentral:rRNA from 1 species
AGAUUGAACGCUGGCGGCAGGCCUAACACAUGCAAGUCGAGCGGUAGAGAGGUGCUUGCAUCUCUUGAGAGCGGCGGACGGGUGAGUAAUGCCUAGGAAUCUGCCUAGUGGUGGGGGAUAACGUUCGGAAACGGACGCUAAUACCGCAUACGUCCUACGGGAGAAAGCGGGGGACCUUCGGGCCUCGCGCCAUUAGAUGAGCCUAGGUCGGAUUAGCUAGUUGGUGAGGUAAUGGCUCACCGAAGGCGAACGAGUCCGUAAACUGGGUACUGGAGAGGAUCGGAUCGAGUCACACUGGAACUGAAGACACGGUCCAGACUCGUAGGGAGCAGCAGUAGGGGAAUAGUGGACAAGUGGACGAAAGCCUAGA